UGCCGCGGGAGGCCGAUUGCAAGUGACUACAAGCAAUCGGAACGCGUUAAGAGGUGGGUUGUGCUUACCGAAGCGACUAGGUCGCCUUCAUGCCAAAGUGUAGUGUGUUUCACUAUUGAUGCAUGAUAAGAAUGUUAAGUAAGAAUGCAUGAUAAGAAUGCUAAGUAAGAAUGCACCAUAAUGAUGCUAAUAAAUGCAUAUAAUAGUAUGAGCUAGAUGCUAAGUAAAUGCAUGUGAAGUAUGCUAAUGAAUGAAAGAGCUAAAUGCUAAAUGAGUAUGUAAGACAUAUGCUAGAUAAAUGCAUGAGUUAAAUGCCAAGUAACAUGAGCUAGAUGCAUGUUUUAGAAAUGGAUGCAUGAUUGAAAUGCUAAUAAAGAAUGCAUGAGAUAUGUGCUAAAUAAGAAUGCAUGAGUUGUAAGCUAAAGUGUAAAUCGAUGAUCAUUUGAGAAGAACAUAAGUAUGUGUAUGAGAUGCUAAAGAAUAUAUGCAUGAUUCAUAUUAUGAGAAUAUGUUAGAAUAACAUGAAGGUUGAACUUGAGUCAAUGAACUCUAAGUAAAGUAAAGAACUCAAUAAAUGUGACAUGUAAAGAAUUCUAAGUAUAAAUAACUAGAAUGAUGAGUGGCAUUAAACCUAGUGUCAUUGAACAUAGGUUAUUCACGAGUGGCAUGUCAAGUAUAAUUCUUAGGUGUGGACAUGUAACGCACUGGACCUUUGCAAAAUUGCGAGGUUCGAGUGUAUGGCUUGUGUUCUGAGUUUUUCCAGAUUUUCUGGUGGGUCGUAGACAGUGUUCAGACCUAUGGCUCGUAUCCCGAGAAUUGUGGUAUUUCAAGUAGCACUAAGGUCGCCAAAGUGGAGGACUUAGGCUGCUCUCGGUUUGCAAAUUUCGGGGUGGCGUACCGGUACGCGGUGAUGGCUGUACCGGUACAGCCAUCGACCCUGGCAGCCAGAGCGCCAACCCGAGGCUCGGGUUGGGCUGGUUCGUGGGAUGUGUACCGGUACACAAACCCGUGUACCGGUACGCAGUGCAGUUCGGGCUGUUUCGGGGAGGGGUGUAUUUGCAAUUGUUACAACACCUAUAUAGGUAACCCCAGCCCCCUUAGCUGCUCUCUUUGAGCCCUAACCAGUGGAGAUCAAGGUGAGUCUCCCCUUCCCUUGUUUGAUCUCCAUUUUUGGUGGAUUUUAUGGUGUUUUGAUCUUUCCCUUCUCCUCUUCUUUGCUUUUAUUGGGUUUUCUCCAUGAUUGAAGACUUGGAGCUUUGAGAGGAGCUUGUUU
rnacentral:lncRNA from 1 species